AAGUCGUAACAAGGUUUCCGUAGGUGAACCUGCGGAAGGAUCAUUAAAGAAUAUCGAGCUUCACAGCUCUUAUUCUCACCCUUUGUAUAAUCUAAAUCUUUUGGUUGCUUUGGCAGUCGCCUUUGACGGGCCCUGCCAGGAGGACCGAAACCCUAGAAUCUCUGCCGUCUGAGUACUAUAUAAUAGUUAAAA
rnacentral:misc_RNA from 1 species